rnacentral:rRNA from 1 species
AACGAACGCUGGCGGCAUGCCUAACACAUGCCAGUCGAACGAGACCUUCGGGUCUAGUGGCGCACGGGUGCGUAACGCGUGGGAACCUGCCCUUAGGUUCGGAAUAACUCCCCGAAAGGGGUGCUAAUACCGGAUAAUGUCUUCGGACCAAAGAUUUAUCGCCUUUGGAUGGGCCCGCGUUGGAUUAGCUAGUUGGUAGGGUAAAAGCCUACCAAGGCGACGAUCCAUAGCUGGUAUGAGAGGAUGAUCAGCCACACUGGGACUGAGACACGGCCCAGACUCCUACGGGAGGCAGCAGUGGGGAAUAUUGGACAAUGGGCGAAAGCCUGAUCCAGCAAUGCCGCGUGAGUGAUGAAGGCCUUAGGGUUGUAAAGCUCUUUUACCCGGGAUGAUAAUGACAGUACCGGGAGAAUAAGCUCCGGCUAACUCCGUG